rnacentral:lncRNA from 10 species
AGCAGGAGGCAGAUACUGUUGCUAAGUGCAGAGACUGAAUCCAUGUGCUGGGACCAAUGAAAGCCUCCAUGAGCUACCAUCUUGGGAGCCCUCUGGAUAACCUGUCAAGUUCUGAACAAAACCUCAGGACAAAGUGUUCACCGCACCUCUCUUUGUUCCAUUUGAUGUCAUUUUAGAAGCAUUCUUAGUCACUGGGGUAGAGAGCUUCAAGACUCGAUUAGAAAUGGCUCCUGUGAAACUGUGAAGCUUGAGUGACCAUUGAAGAUGGAUUUUGCACUACGGACUUGACACCUAUUAUCUCUCAUACAACACAAUUGCAUGUAUGUUUACCUUGAGUUUACAAAUACGGACACUGAGAGUCCUAAAGAUGAGGUUACCUGCCAUGAGGGAUAAUUGGAGUUGGUGCUGGACACACUCUAGCCUGGGCUCAUCUGCUCAUGUCACUCCACCCUCCUCUUUCUGCAUCCUCCCAUCUCUUCCACACUCCUCUCCUGCCAAGUGUGUUUGUUCCGGGCCCUUCAUAAAAGUUGGACUCAUCUGGGAAGAAUAAGACCAGCGUUCAUGUGGCAGCUCUGAUAGGGACCAUCUUAUGGACAUUAAGCAAGUCAUUUGACCGCUGUUCUCAGUUUCCUACUAAUAUGCUUUGGAUUUGUGUCCCUGCCCAAAUCUUAUCUCGAAUUGUAAUCCCCAAUGUAAGAGGUGGGGCCUGGGGAGAUGACUGAAUCAUUGGGGUGGGUUUCUUAUGAAUGGUUUAGCGCCGUCCCCUUGGGUCAUGGGCGGGGAGUAAGGGGAGAGGGUAGAAUUGGAGAUUUGGGAGACACAGCAGGCAAUCAGCACAGAUUUAUAGAUGGGUGAACGGAUGGCGAACAGUAGAGGGGACUGACCUGGGAAAUGCUAUAAGAUUCUCAUGCUGUUCUCAUGACAGUGAGUGUGUUCUCAGAAGAUCUGGUUGUUUAAAAGUGUAUAGUACCUUGCCCCUCACUCACUCUCUUUCUCCUGCUCUGGUCAUGUGAUGCGCCUGCUUCCCCUCACCUUCCGCCAUGAUUGUAAGUCUUCUGAGGUCUCCCCAGAAGCCAAGCAGAUGCCAGCACCAUGCUUCCUGUACAGCCUGUGCCACCAUGGGCCAAUCAAACCUCCUUUCUUUAUAAAUUACCCAGUCUCUGGUAUUUCUUUAUAGCACUGUGAGAGCAGACUACUACACCUCCCCUGUAAAGUAAGAGGGUAUACUCAAUAUCUCUUCCUGCUCUAAGGUUCUAGGACCCAGACUAUUACAUAUUACAGAAAACUGAUGGGGAACAAUCCUUGCUGUCACUCUUUCUCCUCUGCCAUGCUUCACAAGUGCCUCUCCCUACUCCAGUUAUCAUGGGAGGAUGUGUACUUAGAGAUCCUGUGAGAUAGCCACAGACAGGCACAGAUAAUCUCUGGUGAGGCCCCACAAUCUUGUCAUGUUUCCCAAGUCAGUCUCCUCUACUGUUCCCCAUCCAUCUGCCCAUCCAUAAAUAUGUGCUGAGCACCUGCUGUCUCUCAAAUCUCCAAUUCUACCCUCUCACCUUACUGUCAGCCAAUGACCUUUGCUCCUCCCUCACAGAAUAAGAAUUCCCUCAACUUCCUGCCAAAGUACCUUACAAAUUAACCUGCAUCUGUCCUCACACUUUUCUCCCCUCCUCCCGUCACUUGGGAGGUGGGGUCCUUUCUCUCAUCUCCCAUCCCCUCCUCCAUUAGCUGUCUGCAUCUCAUCCCUGUCAGCAUUCCCCAAGUGCUGGGAUUACAGGCGUGAGCCACCAUGCCUGGCCUAGGCCUUUAAAUUUGGGUGUUCCUCUGGGUUCCAUCCUCUGGUUUUGCCCCACGUUGCUUCACUCACGCUCCCUGAAUGAUCCAUGCCUAAACUUCAAGCACCCAAAUUGCCAUUGUCAGGCCAAUGGAUUCCCUCGAAUCCAAACAGCCUCCAAACUCUGUUCUUUCUAUGUUUCCCUCUCUUGAGUCUAUUCCCUCUCCAUUUUCACAGCCCCAACACAGUUUGGCUAUUUGUUCGGUGACUAUGGCAGCAUCCUAACCGUUCUUCUUGCCUCCAGUUUGACUCCUCUUCCUACAUUCUCUGCACCAUCACCCCAUCCACCUUUACCUAUCAGAACAAUCUGUAAGAUCUAAGAAUGCCUAUGCUGGAGCGAGAGGUAUAGAUAGAGAGUUAGAACAUCUAGCAAAUAUUAGGUUACAAUGAUGCUAUAGUUUGAAUGUGCCCCCCAGAAUUCAUGUGUUGGAAACUUAAUCUCCAAUGCAACAGUGCUGGGAAGUGGGGCCCAAUGGGAGAUGUUCAUGUGAUGAAGCAGUAAGUGUGAUGAUGCAGCAAGAAGGCCCUCACCAGAUGCUAGCAUCUUGAUCUUGAACUUCGCAGCCUCCAGACUGUGAGCCAAUGUAUUCUAUUAUAGUGGCAUAAAAUGACUGAGACAAGUGGUGCCCUUUGGUAUUUGUUCUAAGCCCUCAAUCCCAAAACACUGCAUUAGAAAAGUUAACUUGGCUGUAAUAUAGGGGUAUCAGAAGAGGGGGCAGGGGGCAGUUUCCUUAUCUGGAAAAUAAGGAGUUGGACUGGGCCAGUGCCUUGCAGAGUACACCCAAACCUUCAGUUUCUGAUUCAGUAGAUCUGCACAGGACCAGAGAAUUUGUAUUUUUAAUGAGCUUGCAGGUGAUGGCAAUGCUGAGGUCCACAGACCACGCUUAGAAUACCACUGGUGUCUUAGUCUGUUCAGGCUACUAUAACAGAACACUGUGAACUGAGUGGGCUUAUAAACAACAGAAACUCACAGUUCUGGAGGCUGGGAAGUCUAAAAUCAAGGCACUGGCAGAUUCAGUGUCCAGUGAAGGUCCACUUUGCUUCCUGGUUCAUAGAUAAUGUGAUGGUUAAUAUUGAGCAUCAACUUAAUUGGAUGCAAUUAAUUUAAAUAGCCACAAAGUAUGCAAAGUAUUGUUCCUGGUGUGUGUCUGUGAGGGUGCUGCCAAAGGAGAUUAACAUUUGAGUCAGUGGACUGGGAAAGGCAGACCCACUCUCAAUCUGGGUGGGCACCAGCUAACCAGCUGCCAGUGUGGCCAGAAUAAAAUGCAGGCAGGAGAACAUGGAAAGACUAGACUGGCUGAGUGUUCUGGCCUCCAUCUUUCUCCCAUGCUGGAUGCUUCCUGUCCUUGAACAUCAGACUCCAAGUUCUCCAGCUUUGGGACUCUUGGAUCUUCAACCACAGACUGAAGGCUGUACUGUUGGCUUCCCUACUUUUGAGGUUUUGGGACUUGGACUGGCUUCCUUGCUCCUUAGCUUGCAAACGGCCUAUUGUGGGACUUCACCUUGUGAUUGUGUGAGUCAACACUCUUUAGUAAACUUCCCCUCAUAUAUAAAUCUAUCCUAUUAGUUCUGUCCCUCUAGAAAACCCUGACUAAUACAGAUGGUCAUCAUAAACCAAAAAGUAUCUGAGACGGGUCUCAAUCAAUUUAGAGGUUUAUUUUGCCAAGGUUAAGGACAAUGCCUAAGAGACAGGUCUAUACCUUUCUCUGAAGAUGAUUUUGAGGGCUUCAAUAUUUAAAGGGGAAAGGGCAGAUAUUGGGGAAGGGGGAAGAAAUUUUUAAAAGGUGUUGAUAGAUAAGAGCUAAGUGGUUGCAUUCUUUUGAGACUUUGAUCAGCCGUUCACACAGAAGAGGCGGGUAGAGGAAUAGUCACUUAUGCAUUCACCUAGCUCAGUGAAUCUGCACUUUUACAUAAGACAAAAUAAACAUGGCAGAGGAGGCCAUCAGCUAUGCAUUUGUCUCAGGUGAGCAGAGGGAUGACUGAGUUCUGUCCUUUGUCUAUGUCCUGUCCAUACCUAUGAAGAUAAGCUGUCAAUCUACAUUGUCCGGGUGAAAUUCAACAGAACUAUUUUAGGGUAAAGAUCUUGGGGCCCACAGGGAAUUUCCUGUGGGGAAAAUGUGGAGGAAGCAUGUAGCUUUUUAACGUUGUAGCUAUCUUAUUUAGGAACAGAAUGGGAGGCAGGUUUGCAUGAUGCGGUUCUCAGCUUGGCUCUUCCCUUUGGCUUAGGCACUAAUCCCACUCCUGGGCAAUCUUUCCUCACGACCUAAUCACCUCCCAAAGGCCCCAUGUCCGAAUAUGAUCACAUUGGAGAUUAGGUUUCAACAUGUGAAUUUUGAGGGAACACAAACCUUCUGACCAUAGCAACUGGACUCAAUGAUAUCUACAAUUUUAGUUUCUUUGCCUGGGCUAUCCAAUAUGGUAGCAACUACUUAUGUGGCUAUUUAAAUUACAAAUUAUAUUAAAUUAAAUUAAAUUGAAAUUCACUUCCUCAGACACACCAGCCUUAUUUCAGGUGCCAGUGGCCACAUGGGGCAGUGGCCACCAUAUGGAACAAUGUGGAACAUUUCCAUCAUCACAGAAAGCCCUAGUGGAUAUGGUCAUUUCCUCACGGACCUCUGGAGAGGACAUUUUCAAGUAGAAGGGAAGUAAAAUAUCUUCUGACAGAUGAGGGCUUUCAGGAUUGCUCAAGCACACCUGUGCAGUUGGCCUAAUAUUUCAGCCCUAACUUUAAAAAUGAUCCCUGGGAAGUAUAGUCUUCAGCCCUAACUUGAAAGUCCCAAAGCCCAUGCCCCAUUCUGCCCUAGCACCAUUUUGCCCCAGGAAGCAUACACAAAAACAGGGCUGGAACUGGGAAAUACCAGAAUUUCUGUGCUCAGAACUGUGACUGUAUAUCAAUGUAAGGCCAUGGUGGACAAAGCCAAGGAUGUAGUGGCCAAAGUCCUGGUAUUUGAGUACCCAACCUGGAACAAACUUCUCUGAGCCUCUGUACCC